rnacentral:lncRNA from 1 species
CUUCCUGCUCAGGCCAGCUCGAAGUGUGCUUCCUGCAGUUGGCCCUGUGCUGUCCAGAAGCCAGAUGCAGACAACCUGAGGGCCGAACGACCCUGAGGCUGUUUGUCCUACUGAAGAGCACCUGUAUUUCUGUUUUCUCUGGACAGCACAAUCAUCCUGACUAGCUUUUCAUCGGUGAUCUCAAUAGAGAAACCAAUGAAAAGUUGCUUAAAGCAGUAUUUGUGAAACACGGUCCCAUACCAGAAGUUCUUUUGAUAAAGGAUCAAACCAGCAAAUCCAGAGGCUUUGCAUUUAUUACUUUUGAAAACCCUGCAGAUGCUAAGAAUGCCAAAGAUAUGAAUAGAAAAUCUUUGCAUGGAAAAGCAAUAAAAGUAGAACAAGCCAAGAAACCAUCUUUUCAAAGUGGUGGUAGACGGAGACCACCAGCUUCUUCGAGAAACAGAAGCCCUUCAGGAAGUCUGAGAUCUGCAAGAGGAAGCAGUGGAGGAACAAGAGGGUGGCUUCCCUCACAUGAAGGACACCUGGGGGACCCAUUCCAGCUAAAAAGUUCCAUCUUCAAGACGUGGAGGUCUUCCUCCUAAGAAAUCUGUUCCUUCUGCUGUGGCAAGAAGCAACAGUGGUAUGGGAGGCCAAGAAAUCAUCCAAGUUCCGGAGAAACCAGGGAUUAUGCUCCACCACCUAGAGACUAUGCAUAUCGUGAUUAUGGUCAUUCUAUUCAGGAUGAACAUUCCUCUAGAGGAUAUAGUUACCGUGAUGGCUACUGUGAGGCCUAUGGUAGAGAUUAUUCUGAACAUACAAGUGGAAGUUCUUACAGAGAUGCAUUUCAGAGAUAUGGCUGGAGUACAAUGGGACAAUCUCAGUUCACCACAACCUCUGCUUCCUGGGUUCAAGAGAUUCUCCUGCCUCAGUCUAUGGAGUUAUCUGCGAUUACAGACAUGCACCACAAUGCCCAGUGAUAUAGAGAAAUGACAUGGGAGAUGGCCUCCAUUUUUCCCAUUGUACGACUUCCUGAAGGGCUCCUGUUUCUCCAAGAAGAUGGUGAUCUCCACAUUACCACCACUUUGAAAAGACGGUUUGUUAACUUGUUCUACUUUCAUUGCUUUUCCAUCCAAAAACUAAAAGUAUUAAGUAUCCUAUCAAUAAAGUUGUCACAUUUAACCUAAA